rnacentral:lncRNA from 1 species
AUGGAGCGGAGGGAGGUGUUCUGCAGGGACCCCCCUGGAUCUGGAGCGGGGCUGAGCCCUGGCCCAGGGAGGUGCGUAGGAGGAGGAAGGGAAUGUUCUCCUGGGGAUCCCAAAGGCCACAGGAUCGUCUUGGGUGGGAGGCCAGGGAGCAUGGCUGCAGCGUGGGGCUGGUGGCAAGGCGCAGCCCCCCUGCACAUGUUCCCACCCAGCAACCAAGCUGCUCUGCUCACCACCUCUUCCUCCGCCUUUGUGUUUCAGCAACACAGAGUCAGGAGCUGGGAGAGUCCUUGCAGUCCCUGCCCCCAGCCCCUGGGGAAGUGGUGUCCCUGCGGGAGGGCCUGGGCUGGGUGGGUUCUGGGGGGUUGUGUGCUGGUGGCUCAGGGGUGCUGGAGGAGCAGCUGGAGCCUGGUGUGGGAGUGGGGAGUGCUGGGGCUGGGGCUGCCCUGGGCACGGGACACGGCCGAGAUGGCUGAAAGGAACGGGGAUCAAGGUGGGGACGGGGAGCGAGCUGCAGGGCUCAAAGGGUCAAAGAAUCUCUCCUUCCUCCUCAUGAACUGCUUUUCUCUUUCUUUUCCAGUGGAACUGGCUGCCAAACUCGAGGAACAAGCUGCAGUGCUGGAUGAAUACCGUACAAACGCUGAGCGCCAAUCUGCAAGACUGAAGGAACUAGCUGAAGAGCUGGUGAGGAAGGAUACAGAACGUGAGGAACAAGCAGAAGAUCUGGCACAAAAAGAUAAAAGGCUGGAACUGUCAGCAGAGCUGGAGGAAAAGAAUGCAAGGCUGAAGGAACUAGCCAAAGAGCAGGGUGAGUACCCAUCCAUCCCCCAAAUGAAGGAAUUUGGGUUCUACCAGUGGACAUUUUGAGAAGGCAAGAUGUCCCUUUCCAUCAUGCUUUCUUUUUGCUUUUGUUUGGCAGAGAAAAAAUAUGCAAAGCUCCGUGAGUAUCCUGCACCAUAACAAAGCAGUUUGGGGUUCAGGCAUGGGGUGAGAAGCUCUCCCCUCUCAUCAGAUAUUGCUUUUGCUUCUUUUUCCAGGGGAACAAGCUGCAGAGCUGGGUGAGUGUCCCUGAGCUUGGGCCCAAGGGCAAUGUCAAGGCAAUGUGCAGGGGAGGGUGGGCAGUUGGGACAGAGCAGCCCAGGGCUGGCCCCUCACCCAGAUGGAGAAGUGAGGAGUGUGGGGCUGCCCUGGGCAUGGGACACAGCCGGGAUGGCUGAAAGGAACGGGGAUCAAGGUUAGGAUGGGGAGCGAGGUGUGGGGCUGCCCCGCUCUACUCUGAUGCUUCCAGGACAGGGACGUCCUCUAUAUGUCCCAAUUCAUUUCCAGUUGUCUUUUGGUGGCAUUGUACAGAAAGCUGCACAAGUUUCUGUGCUGGUUGUUCUGCUUGCACAAGCCAUGCUCCCAGAUGAACUUCACUCACUAUUAGUCUGGUCCCUCCUUUGGGAGAAAAGUUAUAUUUGGCCACUUCCUAGAAGAAUAAAUUUGGGGGCAUAGCCA